UAGUAACUGCGAGUGAAGCGGGAAAAGCUCAAAUUUAAAAUCCUGGCAGUCUUUGGCUGUCCGAGUUGUAAUCUAGAGAAGUAUUAUCCGCGCUGGACCGUGUACAAGUCUCCUGGAAUGGAGCGUCAUAGAGGGUGAGAAUCCCGUCUUUGACACGGACUGCCAGGGCUUUGUGAUGUGCUCUCGAAGAGUCGAGUUGUUUGGGAAUGCAGCUCAAAAUGGGUGGUAAAUUCCAUCUAAAGCUAAAUAUUGGCGAGAGACCGAUAGCGAACAAGUACCGUGAGGGAAAGAUGAAAAGAACUUUGGAAAGAGAGUUAAACAGUACGUGAAAUUGCUGAAAGGGAAACGCUUGAAGUCAGUCGCAUUGGCCAGGGAUCAACCUUGCUUUUUUGCUUGGCUUACUUUCUGGUUGAUGGGUCAGCAUCAAUUUUGACUGGUAGAAAAAGUUCAAGGGAAUGUGGCAUCUUCGGAUGUGUUAUAGCCUUUGUUCACAUAUAUCAGUUGGGAUUGAGGAACUCAGCACGCCGCAAGGCCGGGUUUUUAACCACGUACGUGCUUAGGAUGCUGGCAUAAUGGCUUUAAUCGACCCGUCUUGAAACACGGACCAAGGAGUCUAACAUGCCUGCGAGUGUUUGGGUGAAAAACCCGAGCGCGUAAUGAAAGUGAAAGUUGAGAUCCCUGUCAUGGGGAGCAUUGACGCCCGGAUCUGACCUUUUGUGACGAUUCUGCGGUAGAGCAUGUAUGUUGGGACCCGAAAGAUGGUGAACUAUGCCUGAAUAGGGUGAAGCCAGAGGAAACUCUGGUGGAGGCUCGUAGCGAUUCUGACGUGCAAAUCGAUCGUCAAAUUUGGGUAUAGGGGCGAAA
rnacentral:rRNA from 1 species